CCCAGUAAACGGCGGCCGUAACUAUAACGGUCCUAAGGUAGCGAAAUUCCUUGUCGGGUAAGUUCCGACCCGCACGAAAGGCGUAACGAUUUGGGCACUGUCUCAACGAGAGACUCGGUGAAAUCAUAGUACCUGUGAAGAUGCAGGUUACCCGCGACAGGACGGAAAGACCCCGUGGAGCUUUACUGUAGCCUGAUAUUGAAAUUCGGCACAGCUUGUACAGGAUAGGUAGGAGCCUUUGAAACGUGAGCGCUAGCUUACGUGGAGGCGCUGGUGGGAUACUACCCUAGCUGUGUUGGCUUUCUAACCCGCACCACUUAUCGUGGUGGGAGACAGUGUCAGGCGGGCAGUUUGACUGGGGCGGUCGCCUCCUAAAAGGUAACGGAGGCGCUCAAAGGUUCCCUCAGAAUGGUUGGAAAUCAUUCAUAGAGUGUAAAGGCAUAAGGGAGCUUGACUGCGAGACCUACAAGUCGAGCAGGGUCGAAAGACGGACUUAGUGAUCCGGUGGUUCCGCAUGGAAGGGCCAUCGCUCAACGGAUAAAAGCUACCCCGGGGAUAACAGGCUUAUCUCCCCCAAGAGUUCACAUCGACGGGGAGGUUUGGCACCUCGAUGUCGGCUCAUCGCAUCCUGGGGCUGUAGUCGGUCCCAAGGGUUGGGCUGUUCGCCCAUUAAAGCGGUACGCGAGCUGGGUUCAGAACGUCGUGAGACAGUUCGGUCCCUAUCCGUCGUGGGCGUAGGAAAUUUGAGAGGAGCUGUCCUUAGUACGAGAGGACCGGGAUGGACAUACCUCUGGUGUACCAGUUGUCGUGCCAACGGCAUAGCUGGGUAGCUAUGUGUGGACGGGAUAAGUGCUGAAAG
rnacentral:rRNA from 1 species